rnacentral:rRNA from 1 species
UACGUAGGGUGCAAGCGUUGUCCGGAAUUAUUGGGCGUAAAGAGCUCGUAGGCGGUUUGUCGCGUCUGCUGUGAAAACCCGAGGCUCAACCUCGGGCCUGCAGUGGGUACGGGCAGACUAGAGUGCAGUAGGGGCGACUGGAAUUCCUGGUGUAGCGGUGAAAUGCGCAGAUAUCAGGAGGAACACCGGUGGCGAAGGCGGGUCUCUGGGCCGAGACUGACGCUGAGGAGCGAAAGCGUGGGGAGCGAACAGG